rnacentral:rRNA from 1 species
GCUACUACCGAUUGAAUGGAUUAGUGAGCUUCAGGGAUCGAUUUGCUUGUUUGGGGCAACCCAUGAUGAGUAUUGAGAACUGAAUCAAACUUGCUCAUUUAGAGGAAGUAAAAGUCGUAACAAGGUCUCC